GUCAGCAUGGUGUAGUGGUUUGAAUGCUGGACUAUGACCCAGGAGGUCAGGGUUCAAAUACCCAUUCAGCCA